CUACGGGGCGCUCCAGCGAGGAAUUUUGCGCAAUGGGGGUAACCCUGACGCAGCAACGCCGCGUGAGUGAUGAAGGCUUUCGGGUCGUAAAGCUCUGUCAAGUGGGAAGAAUAUACGAAAUGCUAAUACCAUUUUGUACUGACGGUACCACUGAAGGAAGCACCGGCUAACUCCGUGCCAGCAGCCACGGUAAUACGGGGGGUGCAAGCGUUAUUCGGAAUUAUUGGGCGUAAAGAGCACGUAGGCGGCCGCUUAAGUCAGAUGUGAAAGCCCGGGGCUCAACCCCGGAAGUGCAUUUGAAGCUAAGUGGCUUGAGUAUGGGAGAGGGAAGUGGAAUUCCUGGUGUAGAGGUGAAAUUCGUAGAUAUCAGGAGGAACACCGGUGGCGAAGGCGACUUCCUGGACCAAUACUGACGCUGAGGUGCGAAGGCGUGGGGAGCAAACAGGAUUAGAUACCCGGGUAGUC
rnacentral:rRNA from 1 species